UACGAAGGGGGCUAGCGUUGUUCGGAAUUACUGGGCGUAAAGCGCACGUAGGCGGACUACUAAGUCAGGGGUGAAAUCCCGGGGCUCAACCCCGGAACUGCCUUUGAUACUGAUAGUCUCGAGUCCGGAAGAGGUGAGUGGAAUUCCGAGUGUAGAGGUGAAAUUCGUAGAUAUUCGGAGGAACACCAGUGGCGAAGGCGGCUCACUGGUCCGGUACUGACGCUGAGGUGCGAAAGCGUGGGGAGCAAGCAGG
rnacentral:rRNA from 1 species